rnacentral:lncRNA from 10 species
CAGACACAGAAUUUGCUGGCACCUGGAUUUUGGACUUUCCAGUCUUAUGAACUGAUUAGCUCAAAUUCUUCUUGGAAGGGCUUGCAAGGUUUGCAGGAGGGUGCACAGUCGAUCUGGGGAGAGAAGUAAACACAAGCAAUGAAGAUAGUGGAGUGGCCUGGACGGGAAGCUUCUUUUACAAAGGAAGGAUGACAAGAGCCCACAGUUCUUAUUGUGUAGAUAGAAAAAUGGAAGUUUACAGAGGUGCAGUGGCUUCUACAAGGUCUCACUGAACCCAUACCUUUCCAACUGCAGAAUUUGCAUGCUCAAACCAUUACACUAGGAUACGUUUGACAACUUUGCUCCAGAGUCUAGACUGUACUGUAAGAUGACUUACAAUGCAGCAGCUCCUGAC